rnacentral:rRNA from 1 species
ACGAACGCUGGCGGCGUGCUUAACACAUGCAAGUCGAACGGAAAGGCCCUGCUUUUGUGGGGUGCUCGAGUGGCGAACGGGUGAGUAACACGUGAGUAACCUGCCCUUGACUUUGGGAUAACUUCAGUAAACUGGGGCUAAUACCGGAUAGGAGCUCCUGCUGCAUGGUGGGGGUUGGAAAGUUUCGGCGGUUGGGGAUGGACUCGCGGCUUAUCAGCUUGUUGGCGGGGUAGUGGCUUACCAAGGCUUUGACGGGUAGCCGGCCUGAGAGGGUGACCGGACACAUUGGGACGGAGAUACGGCACAGACUCCUACGGGAGGCAGCAGUGGGGAAUAUUGCACAAUGGGAGGAAGCAUGAUGCAGCAAAGCCGCGUGCGGGAUGACGGCCUUCGGGUUGUAAACCGCUUUCGCCUGUGACGAAGCGUGAGUGACGGUAAUGGGUAAAGAAGCACCGGCUAACUACGUG